rnacentral:rRNA from 1 species
UGGGGAAUAUUGGACAAUGGGCGCAAGCCUGAUCCAGCCAUGCCGCGUGAGUGAUGAAGGCCCUAGGGUUGUAAAGCUCUUUCACCGGUGAAGAUAAUGACGGUAACCGGAGAAGAAGCCCCGGCUAACUUCGUGCCAGCAGCCGCGGUAAUACGAAGGGGGCUAGCGUUGUUCGGAUUUACUGGGCGUAAAGCGCACGUAGGCGGACUAUUAAGUCAGGGGUGAAAUCCCGGGGCUCAACCCCGGAACUGCCUUUGAUACUGGUAGUCUUGAGUUCGAGAGAGGUGGGUGAAAUUCCGAGUGUAGAGGUGAAAUUCGUAGAUAUUCGGAGGAACACCAGUGGCGAAGGCGGCUCACUGGCUCGAUACUGACGCUGAGGUGCGAAAGCGUGGGGAGCAAACAGG